AAGUGGAGCAAUCCAUGAGUAGAGUGGCAAACGGGUGAGUAACGCGUGGGCGACCUACCUUCGAGCGGGGGAUAACAUUCCGAAAGGAGUGCUAAUACCGCAUGACAUCCCGUGUUUGGAUACACGGUGAUCAAAGCCGGGGAUCGCAAGACCUGGCACUUGAAGAGGGGCCCGCGUCCGAUUAGCUAGUUGGCGAGGUAAUGGCUCACCAAGGCUCCGAUCGGUAUCCGGCCUGAGAGGGCGGACGGACACACUGGAACUGAGACACGGUCCAGACUCCUACGGGAGGCAGCAGUGGGGAAUUGUUCACAAUGGGCGCAAGCCUGAUGACGCAACGCCGCGUGGAGGAUGAAGAUCUUCGGG
rnacentral:rRNA from 1 species